GUUAAGGCAUCCCAUGAAUUGUAAACAGUUGACAUCUUAGGUCGUUAUAAUGAAUUAAUUAUUAAACGGGGGUUUUUUGUUGGUUUUUCUUGGGGAUUUUAUUUUUCUGUUGCGCUGAAUUUAGACCAGAACGCACGAAAUUGUCGAUAUGAAGUGUUUACUUACACCGCUGGUCAUCUUCGUUUGUUUUUUGAAUUUUGUACAUGCCUAUGGGGCUGCUACCCCGGAUCCAAAUAACGGUUUUGAUAAAUGCGACUUUGGGCGCCAUUUGACCAAGAGAUGUGUGGGUAGGACCUCGGACCCACAGCUUAGAUGUCCCGCAGACUUCUUCUGUUACACCCCUGUCGAUGGAGAGGGACCUUGUUGUCGCAGAGACAACCCAUGCAUCACGGGAGUUCCCUACAAAGUGAACGACGACGCAGUGACGUGUAAUCAGAGAAAAAGAUGUCCUUCCGGUCACGUGUGUACCACUGGCAAGGACUAUGCCGUGUGUUGUCCCAUUCAUCGACUUUGUCCUAGGCCUUUCAACUGUCCGAAAAUUUCUCCAUACUGCGCAGUACCAGAUACGUUCCGUUACAAGGGCGGAUUGAUAUGUCCCAAGUGUGACAAGAACAUUUGCAAAAGUUCCAAAACAAAUUAAAAAGAAUAAAAUGUACGAUAUGCAUUAAAAUAUAAAAAAAAAUACGU
rnacentral:misc_RNA from 1 species